AGUACACAGCAACUUUUCUACAUUCUUGUUGACGUUUUCUAAAAGAGAUAAUUAAGCAGCAUAUAUAUAUUUGUAGCAACUAAAACGUGAAACUAUAUUUCAUAGCAGUACGUAUCGCAACGAAGUAUUUCCAUUGUUGGAAAAAUGGAGAAAUUAACGUGACAAAAAUAAUGAGCAGCAAGUCAUUAGCGAGCAGCAACAAUACACGCACAUAUAUGUUUCCAAUCGCCGGUAACGUGAUUCUAACGUCGUGUUCCUUCGGAUUCUAGCAAAUCGGAGAUUUCUUCAAAGAGAAGUAGUGUGAAAGAAGAGUAGUUCUUGACAUACAAGAUCCUGAGAAGCCCGAGACUUAAGUUUGGAUUAGUUUAAGAAGCGGACAAGGUACAGACGUUCGUUCUGGUGACCCGCCAGUGUAGGGUACAUUCUGCUAUUUUGGAGUGCUCCUUUGACUCGGAGCUCAUAUUCUUGGUACAGAUCUUUCAUUGUAUAUGUCUCUGUAUAUAUAUGUAUGACUAUUUGGGUACGGCGGGGCCCUGUCCCGUCCUAUGUUUCUGUUAUGGUUUGUAGGGGCCUGUAGACAUAUAUGUGGGUCAUGGGUCGUGUUUGUUCGCUUGUGUUUGUGACUUAUGCCUUAAGCAGUCCUGUUUGCUAUUAUGGCCAAAACGGCCCAUAUGUUGUAUAUGUAUGUAUAUUCGGGCGAUGUGUAUUCCGCCCGCCUGCCGGCGUUUGUAUGAUAUUGAUGUACAGAU